UCAUUGCAAACUUUACUUGCUCCGCCAUUUCCCUUACCAGGUGUAUUUAACCGAAAACUACUCGACGACGACGCUCCCGAGUGAACAAAAGAACACACAGUCGACCCUGCUUGAGACUUCUUUUGCGGCCUAUACAAAAAUUCAGAUAAUGGUUUAGACAAUCUGCGAAACAAACUCGCCAUAACUGCCAGAUAAAGAUGCAACGGUUCGUCUUCCCCUUGAGUACGCAGACGAAUAUCACCUGACAAUUUAAAAUCAUAGUCUGGAUCUAGAAAAUCACUCAAAAGCAACGCAGUCAACUCCUGCCAAGAUGACACCUUGGAUCUAUUUGCACGAAACCAAAGCAAUGCCUGAUCCGAAAAUAACCUAGCUGCAGAGUUAAAAAGCUUGGAAUAUGAAACGCCAUCAGCUUGCCGGAGAUCCUCAACCUGUUCUAGAAACGUCUUCGGGUCAGUGUACCCAUUGAACUUAAUGUUCCACUUCAAAAUACAUUUGUGACCACUAAUGGACUCUGAAAAAGUCUGUUCUUCCUGCUGAACAGAAUCAACAGAAGAUCCUGCACCUGCUGCCUUCAACAAAGAAGAAACUUUGCCAACAUUUUCAAGCUUUGACAAGAAACCAUCAAGAGUUUGUCUACUUGUGCUAAUUAGUGACUGUGUACUAACAUCUUCAGGCUGGAGCCUAGAAAUUCUGUGAAAUAAGUGAUAAGCCAGUGCUUUAGCCUUAAUAAAUGUGUAAUUUUCCUGA